rnacentral:rRNA from 1 species
CCUACGGGAGGCAGCAGUGGGGGAUAUUGCACAAUGGGGGGAACCCUGAUGCAGCGACGCCGCGUGGGUGAAGAAGCGCCUCGGCGCGUAAAGCCCUGUCAGCAGGGAAGAAAAUGACGGUACCUGAAGAAUAAGCCCCGGCUAACUACGUGCCAGCAGCCGCGGUAAUACGGAGGGGGCAAGCGGUAUCCGGAUUUACUGGGGGUAAAGGGGGCGCAGACGGCGAGGCAAGCCAGGAGGGAAAGUCCGGGGCCCAACCCCGGGACUGCCCUUGGAACUGCGUGGCUGGAGUGCAGGAGGGGCAGGCGGAAUGCCUGGUGUAGCGGUGAAAUGCGUAGAUAUCAGGCAGAACACCGGUGGCGAAGGCGGCCUGCGGGACCGCAACUGACGCUGAGGCCCGAAAGCGUGGGGAUCAAACAGGAUUAGAUACCCGUGUAGUC